CACUUCUCACCUUCUUUCUGCCUGCAUACCUCCCUUCCUUGCCCUUCAGUGGGUAGAGGGUACACAAGGUGACCUUCUUACCAAGCAAGUGAGGUUAUUCUCUUCAAGCAAUAACUUCCAAAGAGAGAAACAGAAACUAAAGCAGUGUACAAUGGAAUCGACUAGCAAGGAAGCACUAAAGAGGUAUCACACUGACGGAAAGCAGUGGAGAAGAUAACGAGCACCUUGCUGUGUAAUCACAUGCCAAGAAAAGAAGCCAAAGAAGCCAAGUCUUAUGUCAAUUUGUAGACAUUUGUUUGUGUGAACCACAAUGAAUUGGAAAGUUUUUAUUCGAAUUGCUCCACUUGGGUUCCUCAUGCCAGGAGUUUAAUCGCUGAUCUGGGUUUCAGAAUAUC